CACGUAUUCCCCAAGGUGUCUACAGCAUUGUGACAUAUUUUUACGCAUUUCCAUUAAAGAAUAGCCGCAAGGGAGCAUAUUUAGCAAGUGGUCACAUGGUGUCUCCCGCAGAAAAUCUUGCGUAAAAUACUGAGGUAAGCCAUUUUUCCAAUCGCUUCUUAUAAGAAACCAAUUGCCUCGACGGAUAUAUUAUCAAAUAUAUAUGUUAAAAACACCUUGAGGAUGGAUCCUAAACAACGUUUGCCGUGUUUCUGUCGAUAUUAUGGAGCUAAUUUUGAAAAAAGUUUGGCGUUGUAGUGGUAGCAUUUUCCGGUCGAUUUCUCAGCCAAGCAUGAUGAACAAACUGGAGCUAUUUCACCUACAAAAAUAAUAUUUUGGGAAAAAAGGAACAUUUGCUAUCUAACUGGGAGUCUCCUGAGUGAAAACAUCCGAAGUUCUUCAAAGAUGACCUUCCGACACUACUCGUCUGUUCCCUAUCAGAUGAACAGCGGGAGAAGUGGACAUUGCCGCUGCGUGCUUUGAACGGAAAGCUGCUGUGCAUCAUUUAUUGGAAAGGCUUCAACAGGAAAUGGCUUCCUGAAAUCCCUCAAGCAGCUGAUUGGUCGACUCCAGGGCUAAUUGAAGAGUUGACCCCGCCCCCUCGUCAAGACACAGCUGUUUCCAAUCACCCAUUCCUUCUGAAGCUAUAUAAAAGCCAGUGUUCUGUUCAGGAGAGAGAGAUUUUG
ensembl:lncRNA